AGUGAACGCUGGCGGUAGGCCUAACACAUGCAAGUCGAACGGCAGCACAGUAAGAGCUUGCUCUUACGGGUGGCGAGUGGCGGACGGGUGAGGAAUACAUCGGAAUCUACUUUUUCGUGGGGGAUAACGUAGGGAAACUUACGCUAAUACCGCAUACGACCUACGGGUGAAAGCAGGGGAUCUUCGGACCUUGCGCGAUUGAAUGAGCCGAUGUCGGAUUAGCUAGUUGGCGGGGUAAAGGCCCACCAAGGCGACGAUCCGUAGCUGGUCUGAGAGGAUGCUCGGCCACACUGGAACUGAGACACGGUCCAGACGCCUACGGGAGGCAGCAGAGGGGAAUAUUGGGCAAUGGGCGCAAGCCUGAUCCAGCCAUACCGCGUGGGUGAAGAAGGCCUUCGGGUUGUAAAGCCCUUUUGUGGGGAAAGAAAGGCAGCAGGUUAAUACCCCGCUGUUCCGACGGUACCCAAAGAAUAAGCACCGGCUAACUACGUG
rnacentral:rRNA from 1 species